CUGGUGGACGGUGGCACAGCCACAGCCGCCCUCAGCCACUCCCGGGUUGACCAAGGCUGAGGAACCCUUUUUGUCUAAGCCGGCUUGAGUUGAUUUCCAGCACAUGUACCCAGAAAGGAGCCCCUCCACCCCUAUUAGCACUCCGGGGUUUGUGUGUGGGCAGCAGCAGCCCUGGACACAUCCUGCCAGGGGCUACCCCACACCCGCUUCCCUGCCCUUAGGCCUCCCACCAGGCCCAUGUCAAUGCCCAGGUCUGUGUCCCCAGCCUCAGGGGCCUGUCCCUUCCAGGCUGCCCUAACCCUGCAAGGCUCCUGCCGCUGAGUCUCGGGUCCUGCCCGUGGCACCCUCAGCAGUGCCUGCGUCCACCCAAGCCGCCUCUCCCCCGCUGACAGAGAGAGGUCGUCCAUCCACUGUUCCAUCCACUGAUCCACUCUCCAGAUGGCUGCAACAGCCAGAGCCGAGCUGAUCCGAAGCUGGGAACUUCCUCUGGGUCUCCCACGCAGAUUUAGGGCCCCAAGUACUUGGGCCAUCUUCCACCGCUUUCCCAGAGCAGAAGCAGAGAGCUGGAUCGGAAGAGGAGCAGCUGGGACUAGAACUGGCGCCCACAGGGGAUGCCAGCGCCACAGACGGAGGCUCAGCCCACUGCAGGGUCACAGCGCCGGCCCCUCUGGCCCCCAUCUGGCCAAACUCCAGGGCCAUCCACACCCCUCACCUGCCGCUCACCAUACAGGCUUCAUCUCGGCUCUCAAAACCUCCCUUGGCGGUCGCCACGCUCGCUGUCUGCUGCACUCCCACUUCUCUAAAGCUCUCCCCACUGCCGUCAGCACACCCAGCCCUCCCGCAGCCCGGGCCUGGCUGGCCUGCCUUUCACCCGUCUCCGCCGUGGACACUGCUCCAGGGCAGCCGCCCCAUCGCGCCCCAGGGGCAGCUCCUCAACUGAGGAAGAACGGAGGCCCAGGGCCUCCCCUUGAAGAGUGUGGGGACACUUCUGUGGGCUCGCCAGUGGGAGAGGCAGCCAGGCUGAUGCCUGAGGGUCAGAGGACCCCCCCAGCGCCGUCAACCGUGGGCUCUGGGCAAUGGGACCACGGUCUGAUGGAGGUAGUGAUUGUUCAGUCGUCCCAGGGUCUGAAAGAAAGAAGGCAGUGGGCUUCUGGCCCGCCCACCCCCAGACCUACCACCACCUGUCCCAGAUUAAAACGUCCCUACUGGCAAGGUGGACAAACCAUGUUUGUGUCUGGAACGAUGGUGCUUCCACAGUGUGGAAGAUGACACUGCAGGACGAGUGCCCUCCUCGGCCCUCUGCCCACACCUCCCUACACCACCUUCUUCCCUCUGCCUGCUCUGUGGACGGUGUCCCUCCACCUGCCAGGGCCCGACCACCUCGAAAUCCUGCCCUGUCUUCAGCCCUCGCUCACAGCACCGAAGGCUGAGCCGACACCUCCGUGUGGGUGACCCACGGGUGGCUCAGAAGGCAGAAAGGCUGUGCCGGGAGCCAGGAGCCCGUGUGUGCAGCACCCUGUCCCCCAUGUCCCCAUGGGCCCCGCUCCUGCUGGACUCCCCAGGCCUGUGCUCCUGACACAAACACACGACCCCUCUCAGGCCUGGCUGGUAGGAAUGGACAAGCAGGUGACUGCUGGAGCCCCCCACCCUUCUCAGAGGUAGGCCAGGCUCAACACUCAUGAACUUAAUCAUCCAGCAAAUGUUUACUGAGCGCCCAUGGUGUGCUCAGCAGGAGGGACAGAGUGGCCACAGGGGGUAUGAGGAGGGGCAGGUAAUCGGAGAAACCUCUGGUAGGAGGCGGAUGAGAUCAUGGCUGCCUCUCAGAUGGACAAAGAAGCCGAGAGCUGCCGAGGCCUUCAUCUGUGGACAGUGGUGGGCACCAGGUUUGUGGAGAACAGGUUAGCACCGUUGCUGUCCAGUGGAGACCGCGCAGGGUUCUCGUGGCCACUGAUGAAGGAUUGGUUAAAUCAAUCACAGGACACCAACUAUGGAGCUGGGCCGGGUCUACUUUCCAUUCGACGUGCUUGUGUGUGAGGUACAGGGAAGCAGAACCUGGCCCCACAGUGGGCACUGUGCAGGGAUCUUGCCUGGCACCUAGGUUUGAGUUUCUUACAAAACGAGGUUCUAGGAAAAAGGCCGCCUGGGAACGGCCUCCCUGGGACCCGACAGACCCUCCGCCAUCUGUUCUGCGCGGGAUCCUGAGCCAGCGCUGCCCGGGGCCCACCCUCUGGCUUGAGAGCCCAGCCAUGACUCCCCAGGCUCUGGACUG
rnacentral:lncRNA from 1 species